rnacentral:tRNA from 1 species
UCCCUGGUGGACUAGUGGCUAAGACUCUGCUCUUCCAAUGCAGAGGGCCCGGGUUUGAUCUCUGAUCAGGGAU